GACGUAGGGGGCAAGCGUUAUUCGGAAUUAUUGGGCGUAAAGCGCUCGUAGGCGGGACAGGAAGUCCGUGAAGAAAGACCUGGGCUCAACUCAGGGACCGGCACAGAUACUCUUGUUCUUGAGGCAAUCAGAGGGUGAUGGAAUUCCCGGUGUAGCGGUGAAAUGCGUAGAUAUCUGGAGGAAUACCGGUGGCGAAGGCGGCAUCCUGGACCGGCAUUGACGCUGAUGAGCGAAAGCUAGGGGAGCAAACGGG
rnacentral:rRNA from 1 species